AAGCAAAUAUAAAGCACUGAGUGAGAAUUCAUAGAUAACACUAAUAAUACUAAUAAGUUAAGCAUAUGAAAUGAGAGAAAUCUCAAUGUAUCCAUCCUGGUAAAAAUAUUUUAUAAAUAAAUAAAUAUGCAGCCAUAUUCCAUCACCAAUCCCCAACAGUUUUAUCGGAAUCAGUUAUACCCACGCUGACUCCUAAUCAUUAAAAAUCAUAUUGGAGAUGAACAAGUAAAACAUUGUUGUUCAUCAAAUAGGUUUUUGGUCCAUUAAAAUCUCCCAGAUUUGUGCUCUUGCUGUGUUGUGGGGGAGGUGUAAUGGAUCCGGGUGGAUCCGGCUGGUUCUCUUCUACAGAUAGUCUGUGCCUGGCUAUUCAUUAGAUUAGGGUCUCUGACUGCCAAAAAUGGAACCGCAGAUCAGGGCGCAGAGAGAUAAUGGAAGUCUCCUUGGCUGAAAAUGUGCUGAGAAGGGUCUCUUGAGCAAUUGUCUGCUUAAUUCCAGGAGGAAUGUAGCUAUCAGGUUACCCAAUUGGAUGAAUGAAUGUGUCUGUAGAUUAGAUGUAAGAUCUUGUGCGGCUAUUGCAGUCCCAGGAAAAAAGCGAAUGAAUAAUAGGUUCAAUUGACAAACUUGGCACCUUAGUUCUAACAAAAAAGCCAAUGUUCCAAAUUUAUAUUCAAUAAUUAUUAUCAUAAGAGGGAUAAUAAAGUUAAUGUUGUUAUUCUAUAUGAUUAAUUAUUUAAAAACUAAGAGCUGCCCAGAACAAUUAUAUUUUUCAUUCAUAACUGACAAAUGAUGACUGUUAGUUACAUUUAAUUUCAAAAAAGAUGUUUUUACAUUGUCUGGCAAAAAUUGGUAAUCGCCUAACUGUAAGAUUUUUGGCUUCUUUUGUAUUAACAGCCAUAGAUAUCAUGGGCCUAUUAAAUUAUUCAUUUGAUGUCCUUGAGUCUUGUUAAAGUCUAGAUUGCAAUUACAAAAAUCUGUGUUCUUCUCCCUCUGUAAUGGAUGCUUUUUAUACUGAAUAUGUGGUUCUAGAUGUAAAAUACUAGGAGUAAAGUAUGUUCUGUG